UUUUUUAUGCAAAAAUGCUAUAAAUAAAUAAAUAAAUUAUAAAUAAAUAAAUGUAUUCAUCAGUCUUCUGAAAAUAGCGUAACUUAUCCUUACUUUUUGUCAUUCCUUUUAAUCUUGUACUGCAACUUUUGUAGUUUGUUUGUUUUUUGUAAUGCCUUCGAUACGGAUCCGGAAUAUUUGUUCAUAAGGUAAGGAGGAGAGGUGGGGGUAGGAGUAGAGAUAGGUGGAAAUUAGGGAAAUAAAGAUGGGAAUUGGAGAGAUUAUCAGUGCAGAGAGAGAGAGAGAGAGAGAUAAAGAGUUGUGAUAGAGAUUAGAAGUGGGGAUUAGAGAUAGAGGAGAAUUGGGAGAAGAAGGGUUUAGAGGAGAAGAGGAAGUUUGGGGAGAAGAAAAUGCUAAUUCAUUUCAUUGAUUCCUCACAUUAGCUACAUCUAUUUCUUAUAUAGUUCUUUACAUUGUAUUAAAAAGUAAAUGGUAGAAAAAGUAGUGGAUUAAGCUGUAAAAAGUAAUAAAAAUAGUAAAAGGGGGUUGUGGGCCGAUUUCGAUAGGAAUGUGGGCCGUGAGUGGGCUUGUCC
rnacentral:lncRNA from 1 species